GAUUCUGGCUCAGAUUGAACGCUGGCGGCAGGCUUAACACAUGCAAGUCGAGCGGGGAAGGGGAGCUCGCUCUUUGACCUAGCGGCGGACGGGUGAGUAAUGCUUAGGAAUCUGCCUAUUAGUGGGGGACAACAUUCCGAAAGGAAUGCUAAUACCGCAUACGCCCUACGGGGGAAAGCAGGGGAUCUUCGGACCUUGCGCUAAUAGAUGAGCCUAAGUCGGAUUAGCUAGUUGGUGGGGUAAAGGCCUACCAAGGCGACGAUCUGUAGCGGGUCUGAGAGGAUGAUCCGCCACACUGGGACUGAGACACGGCCCAGACUCCUACGGGAGGCAGCAGUGGGGAAUAUUGGACAAUGGGCGGAAGCCUGAUCCAGCCAUGCCGCGUGUGUGAAGAAGGCCUUUUGGUUGUAAAGCACUUUAAGCGAGGAGGAGGCUCCUUAAGUUAAUCCUAAGAGAG
rnacentral:rRNA from 1 species